rnacentral:snRNA from 1 species
GUGCUCGCUUCAGCAGCACAUGUACUAAAAUUGGAGUGAUACAGAGAAGAUUAGCAUAGCCCCUGUGCAAGGAUGACAUGUGAAUUCACUAAGCAGUCCAUAUUUUU